UACGGAGGGUGCAAGCGUUGUCCGGAUUUAUUGGGUUUAAAGGGUGCGUAGGCGGCGAUAUAAGUCAGUGGUGAAAUACGACAGCUUAACUGUCGAACUGCCAUUGAUACUGUAUUGCUUGAGUACAGACGAGGUAGGCGGAAUUGAUAGUGUAGCGGUGAAAUGCAUAGAUACUAUCAAGAACACCGAUUGCGAAGGCAGCUUACUAGGCUGUAACUGACGCUGAGGCACGAAAGCGUGGGGAUCAAACAGG
rnacentral:rRNA from 1 species